AUGGACAUGAGGGCCGCCGCUCAGUUCCUCAGCCUCCUGCUGCUCUGGCUCCCAGGGACCAGGUGUGCCAUCCAGAUGACCCAGUCUCCAUCCUCCGUGUCUGCAUCUCCAGGAGACAGAGUCACCAUCUCCUGUCGGGCCAGUCAGGACAUUAACAAGUGGGUAGCUUGGCAUCAGCAGAAACCAGGGAAAGCUCCUAAGCUUCUGAUGUAUGCCACAUCCACUUUGCAACCCGGGGUCCCAUCCCGCUUCAGUGGCAGUGGAUUUGGGACAGAUUUCACUCUCACCAUCAGCAGCCUGGAGCCUGAAGAUGCUGCCACUUACUACUGUCAGCAGGAUCAGAGUAGCCCUCCCACAGUGAUUCAGUCCUGA